GAACAGUAAGAAAGCUUCAAGGAAGGCAGAAACUUCAAGCAGAAGCUCCACGUGUGGACCAUGUUUUAGAAAAUAAGUGAGGACAAAGAUCAGGGCUGUUGGAUGCCUGGGGCAGUGAUGAACUGGGGGCUCCUGAAACUCCUCUGACACCGGGAGACAUCCCAGAAGGGAGCGCAGGGCUGAGCUGAGAGGUAUUGCAGGUGAGCCAAUUACAGAAACAAGGACAUCGCUGAACUAGCACAUCUGCCCAAGACUGGCAGCUGGCACCUGAGGGAAGAAGACGUGGUCAACAGUCUCCUCAGACAAGUCAGGUGUACAACCUACAAUCCCAGGCUUCUUCAGGAUUCAGACAUCUUUAGGAAAAUGUGAAAGAUUUAUACACUCUGAAGAGAAAUCAGAAUAUGGAAGGGUUCUUAUUUGUUUCCUGAACAUUCUUGUAUUCACGUCAUCUUCUUUUUUGAUGGCUUCAGGAUUCCGGGGAAUUUACUCAUUCAGCAGCAGGAGCAGCAGGCAGAUCUCUGAGUUUGGGGCUUCAGACCUGAAUUUGAACACAAGCUCUGAAAAACAUUAAGCUUUGUGACCUUGGGCAGAUACCUUAGCCUUUGUGACCCCCCAGUUUCCAUGUCUUUGGAAUGAAAGUGAUGACCUUCCAGACUGGUGUGAAGGUCAGGAGAUAAGUUUAUGAGAUUCAUCGUGCAAUUAGAACAUGGGGUUUAUAACAAGAUCUUUACCUCAAAGUCAGAAAUAGGAAGCCAUCCUCUAAGAGCCAAGCUGUCAAUGAGAACAUAAAGUCUGUGUGCAAAGAUGUGAGGGGACCAUGAAGUGACCAACAACAAGAACAUCAUCCAGUCUCUGGAGUUCUUUUUAAAAAUUUGUGAUGUAUAGUGUGCCAAAUUAUGAAAGAAGAAGACUUCUGAUUACAACGAUAACAGAGGAGCUUAUACUGAGCUGACACUCCUGCUGGAAACAUCCGACACAGGUGGUUAAAACACAUCGUAUAAUCAGUUGAAGGCACUGGAAAGGGACGAAUGAAGAUGAUGUCUAAGACAAAGCAGCCACAUCCAAUAUCCAGAGCAGUCAAAUUCAUCAAGACAUUAAAUAGAAUGGUAGCUGCCACGGGCUGGAGGAAGAAGUGACGGGGGAGUUCAACGGUAAAGUUUCAGUUUUGCAAUACAAAAGGAGUUCUGGAAAUAGUGGCAAUGAUUGCUUCACAAUGGAACUUAAUGCCUUGUAUGAACUGUAUCAGAAUGGUUAAAUGGGGGACUAGGGUUGUGGCUCAGUGGUAGAGCACUUGCCUAGUAUGCAUGAGGCACUGGGUUCCAUCCUCAGCACCACAUAAAAAUGAAAUAAAGGUAUUGUGUCCACCUACAACUAAAACAUAAAUUUUUAAAAAAUGGUUAAAUUGCAAGCUUUAGGUCACACACAUUUUACAAUAAUUUUUAAAAUAAAAAAUGUAAUUGUGAAAAAAUGUCUAGAUAUUGAUAUUGCUGAUUAUUUGCGUGAGUAAAAACUCUGUCCCUAUUCUAUAAAGUCUCUGGAGAACUGCAUACUCAAUAAAUGGUGUGUCAGUCAUUUUCCUGGUCU